CUGGACCACCUCAGGGCCACUUGCAGCGGGACUAUGGGUCCUGGCCGUUGUCUGGAUGCUGUCUGACAAAAUCAGGAAAGUUCACGGAAACUUGCAGAAUGAGAGUCCGCGGCUGGAAGGGCAUCGCAGGGACACCGGCAUCAGCCUUUGGGAAACGCCGCGUGGACGGUUUUCCCGAUGGAGCUGGAGGCCGUGGGAAGAGCACAGACACCGGAGCUCUGAGCCAGCUGCUUCCGAGCCUCGGGUGACCCACGGCCCAGCCCCCGCGCACCCACCCCUCCUCCUCGGGAAACCACCUCCAGAGACCCUAUGCCUUGCCUGGGGGAAACCAGCUCUUGGCUGGUGAGCUCCCCACGAGCACACUGAAGAGCCCAAGAUUGCCAUCACUCCCAGGCAGACUAUGCGCUGCCUGAGGACAGGCCUGGACCCCAGGCCCCACGUCUGUCACAGUCCCAGGACGUGGUUACUACCCAGAUACUACCGACACAGAAAGGAACGAUUUACUGGUUCCUUCUACGUCGAGGCGCACGGCGAAGGCCACAGUAGGAUAUGAAAUGACGAAGGAGAAUGAUUCCAGCCGCACGAGGUGCACACUAGCUUCCUGCCCAGGUGCUGUGCUGUGUGAUCGACGUGAAUUUAGUAACUGAAUCCUCACAAGAGUCUUAUGAAAGAAAUUCGGUUAUUACCCACGUACACAGGUGACGAAACGGAAGCUCAGAAGGUUAAAAGGAACUCUGACAUGGGCUGACAUGGUUCACCCAGAACGUCAAGUGCAGGCUUUUCCACGCGCACUGCGUCCGCCAGACUCGGGUUCACACCAGCACGGCCACUAAGGCAUGAAGAGCGUUAACAACGAUAAACCCUUCCAAACCCGAGAAAAUCCAAAGAGAAAUUCCAGCAGGAUUGUUUUAAAACUUGACAAGCUAUUUGUAAAGUUUAUAUGGAAGAAAAAUGAUAAGAAUCAUUUUUAAAAUAUUUUUUUGGGGGAAAAAGACUAAUAUAUGUGACUCUCUAUAAAAAAAUUAAAAACUGGAACAUGUAAUACAGGGUGGUGCUGGUAUAAGAAGAGAUGGAGAAGACUAAAGAAACAGAACAGCAUCCUGAAAUAGACUCUGGUAUGAAUAGGGAUUUAUUUUACUAUCAAGACAGAACUUCAAAUGACUUGCAGACAGAUGCUUAAAUAAAUGGUGUUGGGUGAACUGCCUAAAACUUUAGAAAGAAAUUAAGUUCCAUCCCUACCUUCCACUUCAUACAAAAAUCUGAUAUUUUAAG